rnacentral:rRNA from 1 species
AUGUUGCCAGUUUCUGGCGACCUCCAGCCAAUUGCUGGCAAUAUUUUGGCUUCCAUUUGGUUGGCUGCCAAAACUUUGGUUGCCUAUGGGAUCUUGCAUAUUGCAAAGAUUUGGGCAACAGAUGGUCAAGCAAUGUCUAGCCAAUUGUUUGCAAGAUUUGUUAGGGCUUGCAAUGGCACAAGCCAAACAUGCCCGCUCUUCUCAAAGGUUAUCUUUUUAAGUGGGUUUUGCACCUUGAAGAGUGGCAUUCUCAUGGCAUCAGAGCAUCUUGCAUGUUGUCAGGAGAUUUGUGAUUAUUCAGGGAGGAUGUUACAAAUCUUCAAGACCAGAAGUUUGGUCCUGCUACUAUGGAAAGAAGCUGCUGUAGGCUGUGGUACAAGUGUACUACUGGCCGUGGCAAGUUCUGUACAACCUACUAUCUCAAUACAUUUUAUCGUGGAUACUAUAUCGACCUAA